rnacentral:misc_RNA from 1 species
CUGCUGUUAUGGUAGUCUGCCGAUGUACUUUUAAACCCAUUACACUAAUACUGAACUAUACUCCAAAAACGAAAGUAUUUGGUUUUAAUCAAUAACAACUUUCAGCAGUGGAUGUCUAGGCUCGCACAUCGAUGAAAAACGCUGCGAACUGCGAUACGUAAUGCGAAUUGCAAAAUUCAGUGAGACAUCGAAAUUUUGAACGCACAUUGCACUUUCGGGUUAUGCCUGGAAGUAUGCCUGUAUCAGUGUCCGUACAUCAAACUUGCCUUUCUUUUUUUGUGUAGUCAAGAAGAGAGAUGGCAAACUGUGAGGUGUCUCGCUGACUCCCUCCUCGGAGGAGAAGACGCGAGUCCCUUUAAAUGUACGUUCGCUCUUUCUUGUGUUUAAGAUGAAGUGUGACUUUCGAACGCAGUGAUCUGUUUGGAUCGCUUUGCUCGAGUGGGCGACUUCGGUUAGAACAUUAAAGGAAGCAACCUCUAUUGGCGGUAUGUUAGGCUUCGGCCCGACUUUGCAGCUGACGGUGUGUUGUUUUCUGUUCUUUCCUUGAGGUGUACCUGUCUUGUGUGAGGCAAUGGUCUGGGCAAAUGGUUGUUGUGUAGUAGGAGGUUGUUGCUCUUAGACGCUCUUCGGAGUAAAGAAG